GCCGGAGUGGCGGAAUGGCAGACGCGACGGACUCAAAAUCCGUUGCCCUUCGGGGUGUGAGGGUUCAAGUCCCUCCUCCGGUA
rnacentral:tRNA from 1 species